UACGUAGGGUGCAAGCGUUGUCCGGAAUCAUUGGGCGUAAAGGGUGCGUAGGCGGCGGAGUAAGUCAGGUGUGAAAUCUCGGGGCUCAACCCCGAAACUGCACUUGAUACUGCUUCGCUUGAGUACUGGAGAGGAGACUGGAAUUUACGGUGUAGCAGUGAAAUGCGUAGAUAUCGUAAGGAAGACCAGUGGCGAAGGCGAGUCUCUGGACAGUUACUGACGCUGAGGCACGAAGGCCAGGGGAGCAAACGGG
rnacentral:rRNA from 1 species